GCUAAUACCUGAUGGUCCUGGCGGACCGCAUGAUCUGCCAGGUAAAGGUGGGGAUCCUUCGGGACCUACCACUCGGGGAGGCGAUUGCGGCUUAUCAGCUUGUUGGUGAGGUAAUGGCUCACCAAGGCUACGACGGGUAGCAGGCCUGAGAGGGUGGUCUGUCACACUGGGGCUGAGACACUGCCCAGACUCCUACGGGAGGCUGCAGUCGAGAAUCUUCCGCAAUGGGCGAAAGCCUGACGGAGCGACGCCGCGUGGAGGACGAAGGCAUUAGUGUUGUAAACUCCUGUCACGGAUUAUGAAUGCGUAUGUAUUAAUAGUGCAUGCGUUGACGUAAGUCCGAGAGGAAGCACCGGCUAACUCUGUGCCAGCAGCCGCGGUAAUACAGAGGGUGCAAACGUUGUUCGGAAUCACUGGGCAUAAAGCGCGCGUAGGCGGCCUGUUAAGUGUGAAGUGAAAGCCCACGGCUUACCCGUGGAACUGCUUUGCAUACUGGCAGGCUCGAGGACGGUAGGGGAGAGCGGAACUCUUGGUGGAGCGGUGAAAUGCGUAGGUAUCAAGGGGAACACCGAUGGCGAAGGCAGCUCUCUGGUCCGUUUCUGACGCUGAGGUGCGAAAGCUAGGGUAGCGAACGGGAUUAGAUACCCCGGUAGUCCUAGCCGUAAACGAUGGGCACUAGUUUGGGGUCCUCCUGUGGGAUCCCAGACGAAGCAAAUGUACUAAGUGCCCCGCCUGGGGAGUAUGGUCGCAAGGCUGAAACUCAA
rnacentral:rRNA from 1 species